rnacentral:rRNA from 1 species
CAGUAGCCGCGGUAAUACGUAGGGUGCAAGCGUUAAUCGGAAUUACUGGGCGCAAAGCGUGCGCAGGCGGUUCGUUAAGACAGAUGUGAAAUCCCCGGGCUCAACCUGGGAACUGCAUUUGAGACUGUAUGGCUAGAGUGUGUCAGAGGGGGGUAGAACUCCACGUGUAGCAGUGAAAUGCGUAGAUAUGUGGAGGAAUACCGAUGGCGAAGGCAGCCCCCUGAGAUAACACUGACGCUCACGCACGAAAGCGUGGGGAGCAAACAGGAUUAGAUACCCGAGUAGUCCCUGUCUCUUAUAC